ACGAUAAAAAUGGAAAAGCCCAAAGCCUGCUGUGUUGUGUUCCCCAUAUUCUUUAUAUACCGGUUAUAAGAGGCGUGAUCCGAUCCCUUAUUGGUAGAUUAGUUGCUAUGAUUUGUUUCGUUUUGGCGCGAAGAAGGACUUGCAACUCAGCAUCCGUUGUCUAACUACAACAGGUCAAAGGUCAGGUGACUAGCUAAGUGUGAACAGGCUCAGGGAUACUAAGCUGAGUAUCAACAAUCUUGGAUAAAAGGAGUUGAGAAUUUUUCAUCUAAUCAUGAAAUAGUAGAAUUUCCCUUAUUAAAAAAAAUAUUGUCCGUACCCCCUCUCCCCCAGGACAAUGUUGGUCCCAGUAGGUAAAGCAGCCCUGUAUCCCUCGAAACCGAACAUUGUUUAGGGGGGGAGGGGGUCGUCUUAAGGGGAAUUUCUCAUGCUUUUCAUGAAAACACCAUCAAAACCAAAAAUUUCUCAACAUUUUUGACCAAGAUUAAAGGUCUCCCCAGGCCCCUAACCUCUCCCCAGGCACCCUGUAUGCCUUUCCCUGUAAGCCGGUUGAGAUACAGAACAUUUGACCACAAUAAAAAGAGCGAAGAGCACUAAGGUGACAAUGUUCAUCGCUCAUUAAAUAUCACAAGAACCAUGCUUUCCCCAAUGAGACAACUUUCUAACUGAACUUAUGAGUUUACUCAGCUUCUAGUGUUUGAGAGAACCGCUUUUCUGUUACGUUAUUCUGGCAUAUAAUAUACAGAAUAUAGCAAGACCAUAUCAUAACACGCUAUCAUAUUCAACAAGUCAUGAUCGUGGUCUAUGUUCUUUAUAAAUAGCCUUGGGCUAAUAUCAUUAAUACUGACAUAUUUAGGGGAACCCCCUAUCUCUAUUGGUUAUCGUCCUAUCACGUUCCACUUGUCACGCAGUGCAUGAAUGAUAUGCAAAUCUGAUCAUUUAAACAAGGAAAUAUAAGUUGUUGUCUGCGAUGGUUGAAUAACAAUCUCAAAAUGAUGGAUUUUUGGCCGUGUUAAGUUUUCUAACUGAAAGGCACCAUGUAAUCAAACGAGAUGAUCUAGUCGGCUAACUACUUGACAGCCUUUCAAUCCACCUGAGUCCUCGCGAUCCAUCUUGUAUGUCUUGAAUUGAGGAGAUGAAAACUUGUGCGACCACCUUUUUGAGGCAAGGCAUUGUAUCCAAACAAACCGUCUGAAGAUUGAAAGUGAAGUGCUGCGGAUUGAUUCGUCCUUUGUAUUGUAUUUCCUUCAUAUUGUGUUAUGGGAGAGUCAAUAUAGCAAGAUGGUAUUGGAAAGGGAAAUUCUUUUAACUUGUUUCCAUGGAAUCAAGUUAUAAACAGCAAGAAUAUACAGUCCUUUGACAAAACGUUGUCGUUGAUCGGAUCAUCCCUACGCGCCUAGACCGAAAAGGAUAACGGGUAAAUUAACAUGAAUAAUUAAUUGUUCUCUAUCAGUCGGUGACAAUAGCACAAUGGAGAGCAAAAUGCACGUUUGUCUUCGCGUAUUACGCAAGGAAAACAAGAGCACAGCUUCACAUCAUAUUCCAUCAAGGAUGUCCCAAAUAUCGACAACGUGCAGGCGCUAAAAGAUUAUCUGCUUGAGCGCUGUUCAGACGAGUUAUCGCCGGCUAAAGAUAGUAGCUUCGAAAUAGGUUACUUUGGGGAUGAGAGCCAAAAAUUUARUAUUUCCAGUCCAGUACAACUUGCCCAAGACGUGUUAGAUAACAUAUGCGGCAGCUAGUAACUGUGAAUUAAUUAUCCCCAUGAUCCUAUUUGGUCUAGGCGCGUAGGGAUGAAGCCGAUCAAACGACAACGUUUAGUCAAAGGACUGUAAGUUUAUGUCAUAUCUUCAAUAGUAAAAUGUUUAUAUAACAAUAAGUGAAAUUAUAAUUGGAAUAAA